rnacentral:rRNA from 1 species
ACGGUUACAGGGCAAUGUAGUGUUUGGGAGAGCCCAUUUAACCUAAGCAAUAUAUAAAUGAGUUCAAGUCCUUCUUGAAGGGGGCCAUUUUCCCAUAGAGGGUGCUAGGCCCGUAGUAACCAUUUAUAUGUUUAGGUGGGUUUCUCCUUAGAGUCGGGUUGCUUGAGAGUGCAGCUCUAAGUGGGUGGUAAACUCCAUCUAAGGCUAAAUAUGACUACGAAACCGAUAGCGAACAAGUACCGUGAGGGAAAGUUGAAAAGAACUUUGCAGAGAGAGUUCAAGAGUACGUGAAACUGUUCAGGGGUAAACCUGUAAUACCCAAAUAUUUCGAAAGAGGUGAUUCAUUUGUCUAUCCGAUUAUGACCAUUUUUCUAUUGUUAGUUAUAGUAUACUUGAACUGAUUAUGAUUUUAACAUUUGUUGGCGACGUAUAUGUAUUGGGUAAUUACAGGACCCGUCUUGAAACACGGACCAAGGAGUCUAGCAUGUACGCAAGUCAUUGGGUAUAUAUAAUAUUUUUACUUGUAAAAAUUUAUAUAUGUUAAACCUAAAGGCGAAAUGAAAGUGAAUAUUUUUUUUAUAAAAUAUAGGGAAGAUGGGUUAUAAUAAAAAUA